AACGAACGCUGGCGGCAGGCUUAACACAUGCAAGUCGAGCGCCCCGCAAGGGGAGCGGCAGACGGGUGAGUAACGCGUGGGAAUCUACCCAUCACUACGGAACAACUCCGGGAAACUGGAGCUAAUACCGUAUACGUCCUUCGGGAGAAAGAUUUAUCGGUGAUGGAUGAGCCCGCGUUGGAUUAGCUAGUUGGUGGGAUAAUGGCCCACCAAGGCGACGAUCCAUAGCUGGUCUGAGAGGAUGAUCAGCCACACUGGGACUGAGACACGGCCCAGACUCCUACGGGAGGCAGCAGUGGGGAAUAUUGGACAAUGGGCGCAAGCCUGAUCCAGCCAUGCCGCGUGAGUGAUGAAGGCCCUAGGGUUGUAAAGCUCUUUCACCGGUGAAGAUAAUGACGGUAACCGGAGAAGAAGCCCCGGCUAACUUCGUGCCAGCCGCCGCGGUAACAC
rnacentral:rRNA from 1 species